rnacentral:rRNA from 1 species
GACGAACGCUGGCGGCGUGCUUAACACAUGCAAGUCGAACGGUAAGGCCCUUUCGGGGGUACACGAGUGGCGAACGGGUGAGUAACACGUGAGUAACCUGCCCCAGACUCUGGGAUAACAGCCGGAAACGGUUGCUAAUACCGGAUAUUCAGCUUCCUGCGCAUGUGGGUUGUUGGAAAGUUUUUGCGGUUUGGGAUGGGCUCGCGGUCUAUCAGCUUGUUGGUGGGGUAGUGGCUCACCAAGGCUUCGACGGGUAGCCGGCCUGAGAGGGUGACCGGCCACAUUGGGACUGAGAUACGGCCCAAACUCCUACGGGAGGCAGCAGUGGGGAAUAUUGCACAAUGGACGGAAGUCUGAUGCAGCAACGCCGCGUGCGGGAUGACGGCCUUCGGGUUGUAAACCGCUUUCAUCCAUGACGAAGCGAAAGUGACGGUAGUGGGAGAAGAAGCACCGGCUAACUACGUGCCAGCCGCCGCGGUAAUAC